UUUACGCUCCUAAUGCGUGCAACAGUCAGGAGCUCCAUCUAAGUCUCCCACAUGGAGAGAGAAGGACCAAACUACUUGACCUAUCACCACUGCCUUCCCAGGUACAUAGCAGCAGGAAGCUGAACUUAGGAGCUGAGCCAGGAAUCGAACCCAGUGACCUUGUCCUCUCAGAGUCCCAGCUGCAUGGAAGGGGGGUGCUGACUAAUGAUGACUCAGCCUGGACAGUCCCGACUUCCUCCUUCCUCAGACCACACUCCAGGGCCUCUGCCUGCCCCACCAGGGAGAAGCGCUCCCCAGCCCUAAGGAAAGGAAUCGGCUAACAGGAGGCACGCCCAGCUCCUGAGACAUGUAGCCCAGCACGGAGAAGAUGGCGAAGCCAGCCAGGAUGCUGGUGACAGCGUUGCCUAGGGUGACGAUGAAGGUGUCUCUACCAGGAGAAGUCCAAUCACAGGCCACAGUGAGCCGGCUGCGCCCUCGACUGCCAGGCCCUCCCUGGCCACCAGGGGCUGGAGGCAGUGGGCACUGACCUGUAGAUGUUCUGGUGAAACGUGUUGUAGGAGGCAAAGACUAAGCUGAGAUCAUCUACAUCCCCGUGCUGCCAAGUGCUUUCCGCCUGUGGAUACUGUAGCUGCUGCUCACGAAUGAAUGACCGCGUCAAUGGCUGGACUGCUUCCUAGAGGUGGAUGCUAUGAUCAGCCCCGUGACAGACGCCAGGGUGUCGCCCUCACUGGCAGCAACAGCUGGCCCUUGCUGAACACGUACGAACCCCUACACUGACCGCACAAUUUGUAUGCACCCCUUCCUUUCCACCUCACCACAGCCUUCUGAAGUCAUCGCGCUCAUCAUCCCUAUGUUAAAGACAAAGCAGCAGAAGCCAAGUCCACGUUCAAGAUCAGGCAGCUGGUCGGGUGACGUGCUGGGGGUAGGACGCGAGGUCCACCUGGACCGGCACUGCACGCAGCUUUCCGGAGGCUUGCCGGGCCCCCUGCAGUGUCUCCGCACCACCUCCCCGCACCCCCAGACGGCUGCCGGCCCAGGCCCCCUGACCUCCAG